GUGUCAGCAGCCGCGGUAAUACGUAGGGCGCAAGCGUUAUCCGGAAUUAUUGGGCGUAAAGAGCUCGUAGGCGGUUUGUCGCGUCUGCUGUGAAAGACCGGGGCUCAACUCCGGUUCUGCAGUGGGUACGGGCAGACUAGAGUGCAGUAGGGGAGACUGGAAUUCCUGGUGUAGCGGUGAAAUGCGCAGAUAUCAGGAGGAACACCGAUGGCGAAGGCAGGUCUCUGGGCUGUAACUGACGCUGAGGAGCGAAAGCAUGGGGAGCGAACAGGAUUAGAUACCCUGGUAGUCC
rnacentral:rRNA from 1 species